UUGAAAGGGAAACGAUUGAAGUCAGUCGUGCAGUCAUCAAAUCAGCGUUAACAUAGCUGAACUUAUCGGGUGGCGUGUGGUUAAAACCGUCACCAGGUAAGUCCAGCUAUGCUAGCGCGUACUUUGGUGUCUGCUGGUUAGCAUCAAUUUUGAUUGUCAUAAAAAAGGUUAAGGGGGAUGUGGCUCCCUUUCGGGGGAGUGUUAUAACCCUUGGCGGAAUGUGACGAUUGGGAUUGAGGUUUGCAACGAAUACCUUUAGGGCAGUUCCUUCUGGUCUCUUGUUGACGUUCAGAUGACAACAGCUUGCUUUUGUUGUUUGAAUAGUUUGCGAAUAGAUUGGAAGGUGAAUUAAUUCGUUAAGGAUGUUGACGUA
rnacentral:rRNA from 1 species